AUCUAGAGAAUUGUGGUUGUUUUGUUUAUUUCACUGAAGAUGCAUCAUCACUAUACCUACUUAAGCAUAUUCUCUGCAUCUGUAUUUAUUUAAAAAUGCUUUUGCAACCUGACACUGUUCAGCUUUUUUAUCUUUUACCAGUAUUUGGGGACUUAUUGGGGAUUCCUUUGAUAAUUUCAGGAAGAAAGAAGUGGAAUGGAAGGAGCCAGUAACUGUCCCAGGUCAGAAAACGCCUCUGAAAAGGAUCUACAUUACACCCAAAGUUCAUUGGAUAACUGCACCCUCAACAAUCAGGAGACAAUAAGUGGUGUAGACAGAGCUAAUAUCUUCCCCAAAUCAGAUGGUACCUCUGAAGACAUUCAGCAUUCCACAGACUGUUCACAGGUUGAGACUUUCCACAUUCAGGAGACAAUAAAGGGUAUGAACCAAGCCAGUAACUGCCCCAAAUCAGAUGGUGCCUCUGAAGACAAUCAGCAUUGCACAGACAGUCCACAGCAUGACAGUAUCUUCCACAUUCAGGAGACAAUAAAGGGUAUGAACCAAGCCAGUAACUGCCCCAAAUCAGAUGGUGCCUCUGAAGACAAUCAGCAUUGCACAGACAGUCCACAGCAUGACAGUAUCUUCCACAUUCAGGAGACAAUAAAGGGUAUGAACCAAGCCAGUAACUGCCCCAAAUCAGAUGGUGCCUCUGAAGACAAUCAGCAUUGCACAGACAGUUCACAGCAUGACAGUAUCUUCCACAUUCAGGAGACAAUAAAGGGUACGAACCAAGCCAGUAACUGCCCCAAAUCAGAUGGUGCCUCUGAAGACAAUCAGCAUUGCACAGACAGUUCACAGCAUGACAGUAUCUUCCACAUUCAGGAGACAAUAAAGGGUAUGAACCAAGCCAGUAACUGCCCCAAAUCAGAUGGUGCCUCUGAAGACAAUCAGCAUUGCACAGACAGUCCACAGCAUGACAGUAUCUUCCACAUUCAGUGGCUCUUGAUGUAGAACCACCCAUAGAUCCUUCUGCAAAAGAAGUCCAGAAAUCUUCAAUUGAACAAGCAACAGAAAUAACAAGUACCACAACUACCAUGAAAGGUACUGUUUGUUAAACUUCAUAGAAAGCCUUUAUGAACUUAAAAAUCUCUGUUUUUUCUGAUGUGCUUUGUUCAUUCAGGUCGAAAGGUGGUAAAGAAAAAGAAAUGGGACAGUGAUGAAAUGAAUGCAGUUGAAAAGCAUCUAAACAGGUUCAUCAAAACUUGUACAGUGCCAGGAAAACAACAAUGUGAGGCCUGUAUAAAUGCUGAACCUGUUGCCUUGAAAGACAGGGAUUGGUUGUCUGUAAAGUUCUUUGUGAAGAACAAAAUCACUACCCUUAAAAGAAGAAUGUAAAGUCAGUUAUUUUAUUUUGUUUGGUAUCUUAUUUUCUGGUAUUUUAGAUUUCUGGUUAUUACAUUUGUUUUAAAAGGAUCUUAGAAUCUCUUUUUUUUUUUUUGGAAAUGGGUGCAAUUCAGUAAAGUGUCUUUGAAUCGAAUGUAAAUAUGUACAG
rnacentral:lncRNA from 1 species